rnacentral:rRNA from 1 species
AUUGAACGCUGGCGGCAUGCCUUACACAUGCAAGUCGAACGGUAACGGGCCUUCGGGUGCCGACGAGUGGCGAACGGGUGAGUAAUACAUCGGAACGUGCCCGAUCGUGGGGGAUAACGAGGCGAAAGCUUUGCUAAUACCGCAUACGAUCUACGGAUGAAAGCAGGGGACCGCAAGGCCUUGCGCGGACGGAGCGGCCGAUGGCAGAUUAGGUAGUUGGUGGGAUAAAAGCUUACCAAGCCGACGAUCUGUAGCUGGUCUGAGAGGAUGAUCAGCCACACUGGGACUGAGACACGGCCCAGACUCCUACGGGAGGCAGCAGUGGGGAAUUUUGGACAAUGGGCGCAAGCCUGAUCCAGCCAUGCCGCGUGCAGGAUGAAGGCCUUCGGGUUGGAAACUGCUUUUGUACGGAACGAAAAGCCUUCUUUUAAUACAGGAGGGUCAUGACGGUACCGUAAGAAUAAGCACCGGCUAACUACGUG